GUUUUGGGCUCUGCACUGAGCAUGGAGCCUGCUUAAGAUUGUCUCUCUCUUUCUCUCUCUCACUCUCUCCUCCACUUUCACACUCUGUCUCUCCCUCUAAAAUAAAAAGUAAGUACAUAAAUAAAAGUCAUAUCUCAUUUGUUAAUUAGAACACUCAAACUCUGGGAUAUCUCAAACAAUGUUUGAGAUCAUUGUAAACAAUGAUUAGUAUACAAAUUUGUUUUGGGAUACCAUUUUCAAUCAUUUUUUGUUUAAUCUACAUAUGUGUUAAAUUUUUAAGGUAUCUUAAAGGAUGAAGACUUUCUUGAUGAACAGCAUCAGCAUUUUCUGUUGAUAAUAGCAACUGGCAAAUAAAGACUAUAAUGACACUGCUGUGCAGUGUGACUCUUCAAGUAGGCCCUGGAUUUGGUCUAAGACUUGCUUAAUUAUGUCUAUCAGGUCACAAUCUAUGUAAGGAGCAGAUAGGCAACCAGUUGUCCAAUGGAAUGUCAUCCAGUGUAACAAGGAGGAAAAAACACUAAGGUAAAAGAAAAGUGCCAAUACAUGCUUAUAAAGAGCUAAUAGAAAGUGUGUGAUGUUACCUACACUGGUGAUACCAAAAUGAAACAAUGGUAACUAUUAUAAAAAAUAACGUGUAAAUUUUAUUCUUUGAUUAACCAUACUAGGUUAGGGGGUAGAAAGACAGGGAAUGAAGACUUUCUGAAAAAAAGUCUACUGAAAGAAAUUACUUGACCCAUUUAUCUGAAAUCAAAACUAAGAAUCCUGAGUUUUACAAGAUCAUCAAAUGUUCAGCUACAUUUUAGGGUAGGUGUGUAUUACUGUUUAACAGAUAAAGAAUAUGGCUUAUAGUCUACCCAUAACUUGUUACAUACCUUAAAACAUACCACUUUAAGAGUCAUCAAUUUAGGGGGAAGAUUUGAAUGGCAUCAAGACUCUGUUUCAGUCCUGCCCUACACCACAUCUUUAAGUUCACUAAGAUAAAAAUAUUGUUGGACUUACGAUUAAUGUUUUUAAAGAAAGCAAGAGGACAGAGUCUUACGGUACUUGAAUCAAGGCUCCAGUAAAAUCUCAGUAAGCCCAGUAAGCCAAAAGGAUGGGCAAGGCUGGAUAUAAUGAAAAUGAAUUGGUACAAAUGUAGAAGUCCAGCCUUGGGGAUUAGACAGCUACCUGUACAAGGACCUCGUAGGGACCUGUGGCUUGUCAUCAGCAAAUGUGGAAAAAGACUCGAGGCUUGUCCUAACCACUACUUUUGCAACUCACAGAGUGGCAUGAUGGUAAAACAAAACAAAACAAAUCACUAUAUAUACAAUGACAUUUUAUUAAUAUAUGAUAUGUCCAGAAGAGGAGAACGCAUUGUCCUAUUUUAUGUUGGUCAGACUUUCCAAGUAGUUCUGUGUUUAUUUCUAUAGAGAUAUAAGUAAAGUAGGACAUGUCUAAAACAAUGUGGCCAUUUGGUAAAGGAGAUUCAAAGAUGUUUUGUUGAAGAGUAGGAAGGAUUUCUGACUUCCAACAAUAAAGCACCAGAAUUAAAAUAGGGGUUUAGAUUUGAACCUUGUUGACCUCAAGGCAUAACCUUAACCAAAGUUAAAGACACACAGAAGUAGAAUUCAACACACCACAAGAAAAAACUUUUUAGCCAUUUUACAGAAUCCAAAUAUUUGGAGGCAAUGGGUUCAUUAUUGCUGGAGAUACUCAAGCAGAAAUUUCAGUAGCCACAAUGGGUGUGUGUGUUAUAGCAAUGAUCUAAGCAACAGAAAUGUUACAAAAUCUUCAACCCUGAGAGUUUAUUAAAUGUGUAUCAACAAUUCCCAGGUGUACCACUUAACCAAUUUCUUAGGUAUCACUUCUCUGGGCCUCAGUUUCCUCCUAUUCAACGGACAGAGAGGUGAUAGUACUCACAGAACUGUUAGAGAGAUUAAAUGAGGUUGAAGAACAAUAGCAGUGACUUGAUUCCAAAUCUCCUCAUGACAUUCCCAAAAUAACCUUACAAUCAACAAGAAGAACAAAUAAAACUACACAGGAUCUAUGACUUAAACAUUGUUAGGGAACAGAAAACACUGCAACUUUCAAGUCACUUAUGAGAAAAAAAAAUCUGACAAAGCUCCCAAUACCUGCAAACCAUCUCAGUGAACCUGUAUGCAUAGAGAGGUGGGGUGAGGGGCCAAUAGGGGAAGUGAGACCUACAAUAAAUUAUCAAACACACAUUGGGAUUUGGUAAUUCACAGACCUGGCUACAGGGAAGGGGCUUGAAAGUGGUCAAGGCUUAAAGUAGCACCCUCAGAGAGGCAGUGGUUCUUAGGGAGGAUUGUAGAGAGAGAAAAGAGAUUGUACUCCUUGGAUAAGAGGUGAUGGAGGGAAAGAAAAGGAGAAAAUUGAAGGUCUUUCUGGGUAAGAUUUGUUGAUUGUAUCAAUGUCAAUAUUAUGAUUGUAAUAAUUGUGCUAUAGGUUUCCAAGAUGCUACCAGUAAGGAAAACUGCAGAAAGAAUUAAUGGGAUCUCUUUGUGUUAUCUUUCACAAUUUCAUGUUACUCUUCAAUUAUCUCAAAAUAAGUUUUAUUUUAAAAACUUAUUCUAUUUUCAUAAGGUAAAAAAUGGACAACAUGAAACCAUAUUGUUUAGAAAUUUAUAUUUAGGUGGUAAAACUAAAGAAAAGAAACUAAUUGUUAUAAGUGUCAGUAGAGUGGUUUCCUCUAAAAUGGGAGAAAGAAGCUGUCACUGGAAAAAAGUUUGAGGUGAAAGUGUUUCCUAACUUCAUGAUUGUUACACUCUGCAUAGGCUUUAAAAUACUCUAUUAAGUUCUCCAUUUAUGUUUUUUAAGAAAUUUACAAGAAAAGGUACAGACCACAGACCUCCAGGCCAUAUUUGUAAACCACACUGUUCUAGGACACAAAGAAAACUUUGAUAGUUUCCAUAACAUGAAAUACUAAAACUGAUUUGACCACAAUGCAUUAAAACUGGAAAAUAAAACUAAACAAAAAAUGAAAGACAUCUCACUUGGAAAUUAAAGAUUUUUCAUGAAGUAAUUCUUGGGUGAAAUGGGAAUAAAACAAAAUUAAUGUAUUUCUGAAAAAAUAGCAAUAAUAAAAACACUAUAUACCAGAAAUUAUGGAAUGUACUUAAAGCAAUGUAAAUUAUUUGUAACCCUAUAUACCAAGAUCAAUAAAAAUGAAAGAAUAAAAAUAAUUAAAUUCCCAACUCAAAACACUGAACAAGGAACAAAAUAAGUAAAUCAAAUGAAAUUAGAAGAUGGGAUUAUUUGAGUUAAAAUCAGAAAUUAAUGAAAUAGAGAAUGGAAAAACAGUAGGUCAAAUUAAUAAAAAUCCUGGUUCAUUAGAAAAAUAAACAAAAAUAGACAAACCACUAGCUAAUUUAAUCAAGAAAAGAAGGAGAAAUCACAAAUAUACAAAAUGAGUAAUUAUAACUUGGGGAUAAUUAUGAUCCAAAAGAAAAAAUUUUAAGUCAUUUGCCCUUAUGCAAAUCAACUCAAAAGCCUAGAGGAAAUGGAUAAAUUUUUAAGCAAAUAUAGUGUACCAAAACUGAUCCCAGUAAAUGUAGAAAAUUUAGACCAGUUUUCACAAAAUUGGGAACAAAUUUCUAGCUACCCCACAUGAUAGCAUCAAGCCCAGAUGAUCAUACAGGAGAAUUCUAUCAAACCUUUAGAGACCAGACAAUCCUAAUGAUACAUAAAUUGUCUCAGACAAUAAGAAGUCAAGAAUGACUUUUGACUUCUUUUUAUGAAGCCACAUAUAACAUGGGUAUCUAAACCUGAUAAACAUAGUACAAAAACCUGUAGAUCAAUAUAAUUUAUGAGACUGAUAUAAAAAUUUUUAAAUAAAGUACUACUGAACUGACUCUAACAACACAUUAAAAAAUUAAUACACAAGAAUCAAAUAAGGUUUAUACUAAAUGUAAAAAUGCUUAAUAUUAGAUGACAAAUUAAUUUACCAUUGUAAUGUCUAUGGGUAAAAAUGAUAUGAAUUUCUUUAUAUGUGUUGAAGAAUGACUUUAGCAAAAUUAAGUAUUCAUUCCUCAUAAAAACUAUCAGGAAAAUAGUAAGGAAUGGCUAUUUCCUUACUUAACAGGGAAACAUUAGAGGGAUUCCCACUGAGGUCAGUAACAAAGCUAGCAAGCCCACUCCACUGGUAUCUAGCAUUGUCUGAAGGUAAUAGUCAAUACAAUCAGAUGGGAGAAAACAACCAGAGGUACAGGAGUAAUAAAUAAAUCUACCUCUGUUUGCAGAUUACAUGAUACUAUACAUGGAAAAUCCUAGAGAAUCAAAGAUAAAAUGAAUUCAAACAAUAAAAUAAUAAGAGAGCAUGAUAUAAACCUAACAGGUAAAAAUCAGUAGCAUUCAUAUACACAAAUAGUAACCAGCUAGAAAAUAUAAUGAAUGCACAAAACCAUUUACAAUGGCAACAAGAAAUAUAAAAUAGGAACAAAUUUCACAAGAAAUGCUCAAAAUCUAUAUGAAAAAAUCCAUUAAAGUACUUCUGUAAGACACAGAAACAGGCUUAAAAGACUGGAAAGACAUCUCUUUUUUUUAUGUUUUAUUUUAUUUUUUGAGAGACAGAGCACAAGCUGGGGAAGGGCAGAAAAAGAAAGAGACACAGAAUCAGAAGCAGGCUCCAGGCUCUGAGCUGUCAGCACAGAGCCCAAUGCGGGGUUUGAACCCACGAACGCAAGAUCAUGACCUGAGCAAAAGUCGUACACUCAACUGACUGAGCCACCCAGGAGCCUGACAUCUCUUAUUCUUUAUUAGCAAAUCUCAACAUCAUCAAGAUGUCAAUUCUAAGUUAAUUUUCAAAUGUAAUCUGAUCCCAAUAAAAAUUCCAAUGGGCUUUUUUAUAGAGCUAGAUAAGUUGGCCUUAAAAUUCAUAUGCAAAAUAAACACACAGGGUCAGAGAGGUGUGGAGAGAUGGAGCAAAGGAGAAGUGAGGUAGAGGGGUAGUGUGAGAGAUUCAAAACAUGAGAAUGGUUGACUAGGCAUUGCUGCCCUUGAAGACAGAGAAAGGGGGUUGUUGGCCAAGGAAUGGAGGCAGAGCUUAGAAGCUGAGAACAACCACCAGCCUAUAGCCAGCAAGAAGACGAAAACAUCAUUUGCACAACCACAUGCAACUAAAUUCUGUUAACAAAAUGAAAGAUCUUGAAAGCUAAUUCAUCCUCAGAGCCUCCAAAAAAGAAGCAGACUCAAGGACACCAUGAUUUCAACUUUAUGAAAUCAGAGCAGAGAGCCAGCCAAGAGAACCCAACAUAUCACCUAUAGAAACAUACAAAGAUUGAAAUGAAGAAAACAACAAAGUCUUCCAGUGAACAUGAAUAAAUGUGGUGUGUUCUGGAUAAAAAAAGAAUUGUUAAGUUACAUGGAAGUUCAUCUAUUUUUAAAACGUGAGAAUAGUCAAGAAAAAUUUUAAAGAGUAUAUUGAGAGAGACUUGCUUUGCCAGGAUAUUGAAAAAUUUUCAAAGCUACAAUAAUUAAAAUGGAUAGUACUGUCUCUGGAAUAGACAAAUACAUCACUGAAACAGAAAAAGAAAGCCUACAUACAAAAUUAUGUCUAUGAUAAAGAUCACUAUAAAUGAAUAGAUAAAGAAUAAAUUAUUCUUUAAUUAGUGCUAGGACAACUGGUUAACAGAAAAAGAGUUAGAUCUUCACCUCAUACUGUACAGCAAAAUAAAUUGUAGCUGGAUUAAAAAGUUAAACAUUUUUUAGGUCAAAUAGGUGAAUAUUUAAAUAAUCUGAAGAUGAGAGAAAAUCUUCUAAGCAUUACAGGAAUUUUCAAAAUCCACAAUACAAAGGACUGAUAUAAAUAAAGAUAAUUAAAACCUUAUGUAUCAAAAUAUGCCAAACCAAAUAUGGAAACACAUAAUAGUUGGGAGGAAAUAUAUGCAAAACUUAUGACAGUGAGAGGAUUAAUAGACAUAAUAUGUGAGACACUCUUAAAUAAUUAAACAAAGACUUUAAUAGAAAAAAUGGGAAAAUAUAUCAAAUGAAAAUUCACAAAAGACAUUAAACUGACUGAUAAAAUGCUUAAAAGUUUCAACAGCAAGAAUAAUCACAAAGCUUUCUAAAAUGAAAUUUCUUUAGCAUUGAGGGCAAUCUCUUCUGAUUGAAAAGUUAAGCCUUCAUGAAAUGGUCCAUUGGCUUUUCAUAGACACAUAGAAUUUAGUGUCUAAUUUGGUGUGAUACAUUUUUUAAGCUGCAUUCUCAUUAUUUUCUUUUACUUUUAUUUUUUGAAUGCUUUUUUUUUAAAGCCUUGGACUGUGUCAAUAGAGUGUAAAAUUCUGUUGAUCAACUAAAAUAUGUGGUGUGAGUUUGAGAUUACAAAAUAUCUUCCACAAUUAAUGAGAGAAUCGUUCUCUUUUUGAAGGAACUUUAUGGGGAAUAUAAUUUUUUAAAUGCUAAUUUAUGCCAGAAACAAAAGAAAAUGUACUAUGAUGAUAAACAUAAAUUCUAUAGGAUCCAAAUUUUUUUUUUCUUAGACAGAGAAAGCUUGCGUGCAUGCAUUGGGGGAGGGGCAGAGGGAGAAAGAGAAUCUUAAGUGGCUCCAUGCCCAGCACUGAGCCUGACACAGGGUUCAAUCUCACCACCAUGAAAUCAUGACCUGAGUUGAAAUCAAGAGUUAAACACUUAACUGACUGGGCCAUCCAGGCGCCCCUUUUCUCUGCCUUUUUUAAAAAUAGGAUCUGAAUUUUUAAGGCAUAAUAGAUCUUCAUGGAACACUGGGGUCAACAGAUAUGAUUUCUUGAAUCACAGACUCGAAGCAGGUGAAAAUUGAUCAUAGUUUUACUUACUCUAAUUUAAAGUAGCAUGCUUUACCACGAUAAAAUAGGGCUGGUUUAAUCUUCUCUGGUUUCUUUUAGGGGGCAUGUCAGUAUAGAAAUAAUCCCAAGGCAGAAACAGUGGACUACAAUUGUCUUGAGUUAGUUUUGGAACCAUAAAUACAUACAAUAGAGGAUUCUACUCAUUCAAAGAGUGAUGAGAUAAAAGAUUGUUUUCAACUGUAAAGUCCAGAAGAAGCUACCAGAACACGAUGAUGGCAUGGUUUUCUUUCCCCCUUGGUGGGAUGGAUUUUUGAUGAGAGAUGAAAAGAAGAAUGAGAAGAUACUAGGAACCAGGCAAUAAAAUUAACUUCUUUUCAAGGCUGUAUUAAACUGAAAUAAUUUUCUUAUAUACUCAACUCAUAAAGAGAAGGAAUAAAAUGGCUAUCAUUCUUCCAUUUACAAAAGCAUUUCCCAUAAUCCAAGUUAAGUAUGAUUCAUUAAUAAUAAUAUAGUGAAAGUGACCUUUAUGUUGAUUAAAAUUUUAGUUUUAUUAAAAAAUAAAAAUGAAAAAUAAAAAACACAAAGAUGGCUAGGAAAUUACUGAAUAGGAAGAUCUGUAGGGUGGCGGGUGGCAGUGGGGGUUGGGGGACAAGAGAAAGAACUGCAACCAGCUAUAAAAAUGUGCUACAGUUAUUAAACGGUAUGGUAUCGGCACAAGAAGAAGCCAUCAGACCAAUCAAAAAGAAUAAAACUUCCAGAAAGUGAUCCAAUUACAUAUACAAAUCUAGUUUAUGAUAAAAGAGGUAUCUCAAAUCACUGGAGCAAAGAUGCUCUGUUUAACAUAUAGCAUAGGGAUGACUGGAUAGCCACUUGGAAGAAGGUAAAAGCAGAUCAUUUUCAUCACACCCAAGAAUAAACUCCAAAGGGAUCAGAGAUAUAAAUAUAAAAAUAAAAGUAUACAAGUACCAAAAGAAAACGUAAGUGAAUUCUUCUAAAGUGUGUGUAUAAGGAAAGGCUUUCUAGCUAUGAUCUAAAGUCCCAGAUACAGUAAAAGAGGACGUUAGUAAAUUUGACUAUUUACUAGUUAAAACUAAUAAAAUGUUUUGCAUGGCAAAAACAUUAACAAAGUCAAAGACAUCUGACAAACUGGGAAAAAAUAUUCACAGCAUGUCACAGAUAAAGGGUUAAAUGCCUAAUUGAUUAAGAAUUUUUUUAAUUGAGGAAAAAAUCCAGUAGAAAUCUAUUUUCACCAGUCAGAUUGACAAAAUUCAAAAGCUUGACAAUAUACUCUGUUGAUGAGGUGGUGGAAAAAUAGGCACUGCCGUAUAUUGCUGAUCAACAUGAAAAAUAGUGUGACCGCUAAGAAGGGGAAUUUGAUACCAUCUAACCAACUCUAUGCAACAAAACCAGUUCACAACACAGAAUUCCCUCUAUGAAUAUUUCCUGAACAUCUACCUCCAACAAUAUGAAAAACACAAAUGCACAAAGUUAUUCACAGAGUAGUAUUUGUCAUUGUCAAGCAGAGGAGAUUGGUUGAAUAAAUGAUGGUAUGUACACACAAUGGAGUACUAUGCAACUAUGAAACACAACACAAUGGAGUACUAUGCAACUGUGAAAUACAAUUAGGAGGAGAUCUAUGUGCUGGUAUGGAAUGAUUUCCAGAAGAUAUUACUAGUGAAAAAAGAAAAAUACAUAAAAAAGUAUCUAGUGAGCUAAUUUUUGUGUAAAAAUAAGGGGGAAACUUUCAAAUUCACACAAUGGCUUAUCAUUACAAAAAGGAACACAAGAAGCACAAACCUGAAGACAAUGUAAUUGGUUGUCUACAAGGGGUUGCAGAAACUGUGUAGAAGGAAUACAAGAAGCAGUGAAGCAUCUCAGAUUAUACCCUUUUGUAUUGUUUGACUUUCAAAAUCAUAUUAAUAUUCUACAUAUUCAAAAAAUUAAAUUAAGUCAAGAAUACAAAGAAACUGUUAAAACUGAAAGCAAACUGAAACACACGAGCCUACUUGUAUUUCACAUGUAUACUAUAGCCACACUUAAGGAAGGGAGACAGGGAAGGAGGGAGAGGAACACAGUAUUUGACCAUAUACCCUUGUCUUGGGGUACAUGGGGAGUGAGACUACAAAUAAAUCCCAAACUCUUCUUAGUACGUUGUUUAUUCUAAUGUCAUGGGAAAAGCAAUUCUGAAACUAUUUUAGAUGUACUAAAUAAAGGAUCGAACAAAUGAUUAAAUGGCUUGAUGUUCUUGGAAGACAAGAAAUAACUCAUUGGGAGUGUAUUAGAACCGGAGGUAUUGGUGUAAACUCAUGAUUUUAGAAAAUAUUUAUAUGAAGCUUAUGUGCACAUAUAUGUACAUCCACAUGUGUAUAUGUAUGGGUGUCUGUAUACUGGUAUGCCGGUAUAUACAUACAUGUGCAUAUGCAUCCUAGUUCUCUUCACUGUAAAGGGCCAAAGAGCAAAGGCCAGAGUAGCAACAAGCAAACCUAGCACCCAGACCUCGGUCCCACUAAAAGAAACCAAGGCUUCUAGGAGAAAUGGCUGAUUCUAGGACUGGAACAGGGUAGCUUAAUUCCUAAAAAGAUAGGCUGCCUCUGGCAUCCAGCACUUGUUCUCCUCUUCAAAUCCUAUGAAUCUGUACACAUGUUCUGCUAUCUACUGUUGACAUGACUCUUAGUCAAUCUUUCUUGACUGCCAUAAAGUUUAUUAUGUUCCUCAGGUCUUUAAAGAACUUCCACCAAUUCCAAAUUGUCACUUAUUUUUAUCCUGUGUUCCUGCAACAUUCCCUUAAAGGCCAUAUAAAACUCAUUUUUAAUUUGCAUCAUGAUAAGCUUCUCUUAUUUGCAACUGGUUCCACCUUUCUACUUCCAUAAGUUGUAUGACAUUAUAAGUCUAAAAGGUUUGCCAAAACACAAAUGUCAGAAAAAUUGGGCACAACUAAUUAAAUGACACACAUGGCAGAAGCCAUGCGUUCAGUAUAGUGUGUUAAAAAUAAAAACAAACAGACAACAAACCUCAUUGGCUGAGAGGAUUUGCAGUGUGGACAUGCUAUAAAACUCGGCUAAGACUACCUACCCUACAGGCUCACUGGCUGACAAUACAACUGUUCUCAGAACACAGGGGAAAAUAUGGCAGAGACCAACUGCAUCAUAAUAAAUGAGACCUUUAUCAUUUUCCACGUGUCCACCUAACAUUUUUAUUACCAGUAGCAUUCACUUGGAGACUACAGCUUAUGUCAGUAUGUCCAUAAUAGGGUUCCCUCGCCCGGGGGCUAACCUACCUGAGGAAGGGCCACUAGGCAAAGGAGGCCCUCUCACCUAGAACUGCUGAUGCAGAGACCGGCCUUCCAUCUACCUUGAGAUGGUCUGAGCUCUGAUCCAGACCUGGUGACCUUUCAGAAGCAGGAGCAGAACAGUCACCAAACAGGCAGGCCAUGCCUCUUCCCUUGGAGUAAGAAUCCGUGAGGGUGAGGAAGGGAAACAGAAAACUAUUCUUCCCAGGGCUUCAGAAAAGGUGGGAGUGCCUAACUGACGAACCCAAGAAGAACCUGUGUGUUAUGGCAAAUUUCUAGUUCUGUAGUUUGUUAAGUGUGAGUUCACUAUUCUUUUGCAGGCCUUGCUUGCUUCUGCUCCUCACUGCUAAGCCAUUUCCCCUUUUUUUCGUUAUCUGCUUUUUACAGCUGCUUCUGCUGACUAAUUUUGGCGCACAGGAGAGGUUCAAAUGACUGUGUUAUAAGUCUAAGGCUCAUCCAAUAUUAAUCUUAGUUAUAUGCACCAUAUUGCCCCCAGUUUGAUUGUUUGCUUAAUUUGCUUUUCUCUGGAUGAAAAGGGAAGGGAAACUCAAACAUUACAGAGAGACAAUAGAUUUUCUUCUUUUCUCUCUCUAUCCGUAAACUGGCUAAUACAGUACUUUCAAGUGGAUUAUGGAAAGGAUUAGAAGUGCAGGGUUAAAAGACAAAUAGAAGUGGUUUCUAUUGUCAGCCUCUGAAAUUCGAUGAACAGACUGAAAGUUCAGUUGAGGUCUAUGAAAAUAUUAGCAGAUGCCAAAAGGCCAGCAGCCAGGAUUUGUGUCUUUGUGCAAGAACUGAAUAGUUACCAACAGCUAGAAAAUUUUAAUAACCAUGGAAGUGAUGGAAUAGUCGGUCCUAUAAAAAAGAGAGUGAGAAAGAGAGAAAUUUUCUGCAGUGAUUAGAUUUAUGAACUCCUAAAAGAAUGGUCUCUACAGAUUCUAAGCCCCUAAGCAUGUAGAUAACUGAAAUAUUAAGACUUGGAGAUAAAAUUUCUUUAUUUUUUUAAUGAUGCUGUUAGUAAUAGCAGUUGAAAUGAAUCUGACCUAACUUGAGAUCUUGUAGUGAAGGGAACUAGUAUGCAUAAUUAUUAGUCAAAAUUUAAGUUUGCAAUAAGCUUCAAAAGUUGUAUUUUUAGGUUAUUCAGAAUAUUAAUCACACAACAUCUUAACAAGAUGGAGAUUCUUUUCUCAGUGGUAAACUUAGAUAAUUACAUGAAUAAAAUCAUGAUUGGCCCUCCUUAAUGAUUUUGUGCUUCUGAACAUUUAAAUUGGAAACAUAUUUAUUUGAUUCAUCUUUUUAAAAAAGAUAUUAGUCAACAUAGUAAAAAAUUUAGGCUACAUAAAUGUCAAAAGUUGAAAGUGUUCUUUAUAAACAAGAAUUUGCAUUUUUAAUAUAAAACAUAAGUGACAAAAACAUGAUUAAGACAAAUAUUUGGGAUUUUAUUUGCAGAUCAAAUUACAAAAUGUGUAAAUGUUUACUUAAUGAUAAUUUCCUUUGUUAUAAUUAGAAUCCAUAGUUUUAAUUUAGUUUUAUCAGAAUGAAUUUAUUGCUUUUAUUUCUAUAAGGACAACUUUUCUAUUAAAUCAAGUAUCUUAACUGAUAUUUGACUGUAGUGACAGAAAAGAAACAGGAGAGGGCACUUUAGCUCUCUAACAAAAUAAAACCAUUCCUAAGCCCUUUUAUAAAUCAGUAAAACGAUGAGAGGAUUUGAAAUAUCUGGCAAAGGUUAAACAAAAAUGUGAAGCAAGUUCCUCUGCUUCCCAUAGCUUAAUAAAAGAUAUCUCAGGUAAAUGGCAGUUUCUUUCUUUAAUCAUUCCAUAAAUCCACUGGGUAACAUGAAAAACAAGUGUUCUCAGAUCUGCAAAUAUGUGGAUCCAUCAUUUCAAGAACACUUCAUUUAAAAAAAUCUCACGCUUAUUUGGAAAUUGCCUGAUCUAUUGAGUGUAUUAUAUUUAAAUAAGUAAAUUUUCAUAAUCCAGGAUUUUUGAGAAGAUGGAGUUCUCUAACUAUUAAGAAGUAGCGAUAUGAACACUGUAUAUGUCUUAUAUCUUGGUUUGAUGCUUACUAAUAAUUAGCCUGUGCCAUUAGUCAUGUUUUUAGUCAGUUUCCUCAAAAAUUAUCUUUAGCAGCAGCAGCAGCACCUCAAGGAAAGGCUCUUGCUUUCAAGUAGCUUCUACUUUAUUGUGGUUGAAAAGGUAAUAUUAAUAUAUGAAAUAACAAACAAUAGAGAAGAUAACACACAAUGAAAUCUAAAUGGUGUUAUUCGAUGUGUAAAUAAUGCCAGACAAGUUAUUGUAAUUCCCUGGGCCUCAGUUUUUACAUUUUAUGAGGUUCUGGACUUGAUGAACUGACUGAAACAUUGACUGACAUCCAUUCUUACUCUGUAUAUUAUUCUAUAAGAUUUUAUUAUCUAGUGCCCAAGCCCUCAAUACAUUUACUGUGGUUCUUAACCAUGAGAUUUUAAAGGCCCACUUGAAAAUCUUACAGAAGAUAUGGAGCUUAUCCCCCUGAAAAAAGCUCUAAUAUAUUUCUUACUCAAAAUGAGUAAGAUUCAUUUCAAGAGGUUCAGGGGCCUUCAGAAAUCAAUCUAUAGACUUCCUAGUGGGUUGUUUAGCCUAACAAAUUCCUAACUGCAGCAAGAAUCUCUGAUAGAGGCACACAUUAUAUAGUUCUUACAUACAUUGGGGGUUAUUCCUAGAAAUUGCAUAUGGUGGUGUUGAGUCAAGAGGGGUGAUGAGGUUGCAGAGUAAGGUAUGACACGACAAGCAAUUUGGAACUUUAUCCCAUAAGUAACAAGAGGCAUACUAGAAAGUUUAAACACACAAGUGGAAGGUAUGCAUUUUAAAUAGCAAAAUCAGAGAAUAAAAUGUAAAAUAAACAGAAGAAGAAAGACAGGAAGCAAGGAGAUCGUUAGUUUGUAGCACAACAAACUGGGUGAGGCAUAGUGAAAGCCUGUUUAAAAAUCUUUCCAAAAUUAGGGAUUUAGGGAUGUUCCAUUUUCUAAGAUAGGCCUACUUUGAUUCUGUAUAAUAAAAAAUGGGACAGAAGUUUUCAAACACCAAGGGACAUUUUGAAACUGGACAAAGAUUUGUUCUCCAGUUCCAUUUAUUUUCUACUCAGGACAAGUAGAUACUAGCGGCCUUGUGGAAUACCCUAGAUGGAGUACUGCAACAGUCCAAGCAGCCUAGGAUCCACCAAGGAGGUAUGGCAUACUCCUCCUAAAAAGGCAGACCUGGAGGGCUUUGCUUCCCAUUCACAUCAGGGGCAGUGGCAGGUGCUCUGUCCCUUUUCAUUAUAUCCCUUAGGGCAGAAGUGGCUGGCAGAAAUCAUGGGCUACUCAUAAUGUUAUUUGAGGCCAGACCAAUGAGGAACUAUCUCUCCAUUCUGUAGUAGCCAAAAACAAUAAGCAAUCAAAAUUUCUGGAUGGGGACAUUUCUCAGACAACCAUAUUUUAAUGAAAAAGUGUGUGUGUGUGUGUGUGUGUGUGUAGAUUGUCUUCUAAGGAAUUUGCACACAGAUCCUGCUAUUGCCAUAUAUUGCCAAAUCCCACUUGUUUUCUAUAAGAAAAGGAAAAUAUAAUUAAUUAAAUGUUGAGGAUUGGAUACAGAAAUGUUCUCAUUCUUAUAAAGGGGAAUUUGGC